rnacentral:rRNA from 1 species
UACGGAGGGUGCGAGCGUUGUUCGGAAUUACUGGGCGUAAAGAGUGUGUAGGCGGCUCCUUAAGUCGGGUGUGAAAGCCCUGGGCUCAACCCAGGAAAUGCGCUCGAUACUGAGAGGCUAGAGUAUGGGAGAGGGGCGCGGAAUUCCUGGUGUAGAGGUGAAAUUCGUAGAGAUCAGGAGGAACACCCGCGGCGAAGGCG